rnacentral:rRNA from 1 species
AUUGAACGCUGGCGGCAUGCCUUACACAUGCAAGUCGAACGGCAGCACGGGAGCAAUCCUGGUGGCGAGUGGCGAACGGGUGAGUAAUGUAUCGGAACGUACCUUUCAGUGGGGGAGUAACGUAGCGAAAGUUACGCUAAUACCGCAUAUUCUGUGAGCAGGAAAGCAGGGGAUCGCAAGACCUUGCGCUGAUUGAGCGGCCGAUAUCAGAUUAGCUAGUUGGUGAGGUAAAGGCUCACCAAGGCGACAAUCUGUAGCGGGUCUGAGAGGAUGAUCCGCCACACUGGAACUGAGACACGGUCCAGACUCCUACGGGAGGCAGCAGUGGGGAAUUUUUGGACAAUGGGCGGCAAGCCUGAUCCAGCCAUGCCGCGUGAGUGAAGAAGGCCUCGGUUG